UACGUAUGGUGCAAGCGUUAUCCGGAUUUACUGGGCGUAAAGGGAGCGCAGGCGGCGCGCCAAGUCUGAUGUGAAACCCCGGGGCUCAACCCCGGGCAUGCAUUGGAAACUGGCGGGCUGGAGUGCCGGAGAGGUAAGCGGAAUUCCUAGUGUAGCGGUGAAAUGCGUAGAUAUUAGGAGGAACACCAGUGGCGAAGGCGGCUUACUGGACUGCAACUGACGCUGAGGCUCGAAAGCGUGGGGAGCAAACAGG
rnacentral:rRNA from 1 species